UACGUAGGGGGCGAGCGUUGUCCGGAGUUACUGGGCGUAAAGCGUCCGCAGGCGGUUACGCGCGUGGCCGGUGCCAGCCCGUUGCUUAACGACGGGAGUGCCCGGCAGACGGCGUGACUGGAGGGCCUCAGAGGGACAUAGAAUUCCGGGUGGAGUGGUGAAAUGCGUAGAGAUCCGGAGGAAUACCAAUGGCGCAGGCAGUGUCCUGGGAGGCAACUGACGCUGAGGGACGAAAGCCAGGGGAGCGAACGGG
rnacentral:rRNA from 1 species